rnacentral:rRNA from 1 species
CUGCCAACACUGGGACUGAGAACUGCCCAGACUCCUACGGGAGGCUGCAGUCGAGAAUCUUUCGCAAUGGGCGCAAGCCUGACGAAGCGACGCCGUGUGUGUGAUGAAGGCCUUCGGGUUGUAAAGCACUUUCGCCUGAGAACAAGAGAUUGCCGAUAAUACCGGCAAGAUUUGAGAGUACCAGGUAAAGAAGCACCGGCUAACUCC